CCCUCGCUUGAGUCGGGGGCUCGCCCUCGAGAACCUCGGGAGCCGCGACCCUCGCACCUGAAAACAAAUCAAGGAAACCAUGUCAGAAUCUUCAAAAAAGAGCGACAUAGCCGAAGAGAAAGGCACUCACCCGAGGUAGGAGCAUCCUCCUCGGGACGCUCGCGACCGAUAGAGAACACCGGGACGCUCGCAUCGCUGGCUCCGGUCGACAACUCCACCACCGAGUCGCUCCGCAGCCGAAGCCCUGUCUCGCGAGUGAAAGCCUCAACCUCGUGGCUCGAAGGAGGAAGAACGUGCUCAAGUCCAAUCUUCCCCUUCAUGUGCAGGUCCAAGGUCACCCUCAAAGGGGACCUCGACUCACCUAU
rnacentral:lncRNA from 1 species